CCUACGGGUGGCAGCAGUGGGGAAUAUUGCACAAUGGGGGAAACCCUGAUGCAGCGACGCCGCGUGAGUGAAGAAGUCAUUCGUUACGUAAAGCUCUAUCAGCAGGGAAGAAAAUGACGGUACCUGAGUAAGAAGCUCCGGCUAACUACGUGCCAGCAGCCGCGGUAAUACGUAGGGGGCAAGCGUUAUGCGGUUAGACUGGAUGUAAAGGGAGUGUAGACGGUGCGGCAAGUCUGGAGUGAAGUGCCUCAGCUUAACUGAGGUACUGCUUUGGAAACUGGCGAACUAGAGUGCGGGAGGGGUUAGCGGAAUUCCUGGUGUAGCGGUGAAAUGCGUAGAUAUUAGGAGGAACACCGGUGGCGAAGGCGGCUUACUGGCCCGUAACUGACGUUGAGGCUCGAAAGCGUGGGGAGCAAACAGGAUUAGAUACCCGGGUAGUC
rnacentral:rRNA from 1 species